GCAGCACUGUAUGAAAACUGCUAGAAUAUCACUCACCACUUCCCAUAGAGAUUCUGUUUGUUCAUCUGCUUGUCCCACUGUGUGCCUUACACAUAGUAGGUGCUCUUGGAAUGUGUGUGAGAUGGAUUAACAUGAGAAGUGCUUCUCUGCAUGGUUUCACCAUUGAAGUGUUGAAAGCAACCAGCGCUCCUCCUUCCUAACCUCUAGGCUUCCAUCCAGCUGUGGGGACUGGUGUGGUGGAGGGGCCUAGUCUGAAUCUGGACAGGGGAGGUGCCUGCAAAUAUUUUUGUGCCUUGGGACAGAUGGAUGUCCAGUUUACUGUCUGCUUCCUCAGUGGUUCUAGAGCUGCUCAGUCGCAGGCUCCAGAUGUCUGCUUCAGAAUUCAAGAACACCUUCCUGAGCUGGGAAACAGAUCCAAGGAAAUAUCAGCCAGAGGCUUAAUUUUAUCAUCUGUGGAAAUGGAAGAUGUUAGAGCACCUAGGAGGGUCUUAACGUACAAAACACUGUCUUGAGGCUGCCUGCAGAACAGAGGGUCAUCAGCUUUCAUUAGAUUCUCAAGGGAGCCUCAACAGGCUACACCUGAACCCCAGGUUUGGGGCAUCUCUCCAGCCCUCCCAGCUCUGACAUCAUCAUCACCAUUAGUGGUGAUGUACCAACAACCCUCCCAAGAGUCCCAUAUCUACCUGACCUCAUUUGACCUUCACAGCAACCCAGUGACUCAGCUGCUAUUUGGCCCACAUUUUAUAAACCUGAGUCAGUGUGCUUUACCUCAGUGACCCAAGAACCCAGGUGCUAGAGUCAGGCCUGCAUCCAAAUCAGGGGUGGGAUCAGUGGUGUGCCCUGAACAAAUCAUUAUCCUCUUUUUUGUUUUAUUUUUUGGAGACAGAGUCUCACUCUGUCACCCAGGCUGGAGUGCAGUGGUGCAGUCUCAGCUCACAGCAACCUCUCUCUCCUGGGUUCAAGUGAUUCUCCUGUCUCAGCCUCCCAAGUAGCUGGGACUACAGGUGCGUGCCACCACGCUCAGCUAAUUUUUGUGUUUUAGUAGAGACAGGGUUUCACCAUGUUGCCCAGGCUGGUCUCAA
rnacentral:sRNA from 1 species